rnacentral:rRNA from 1 species
GUGCCAGCCGCCGCGGUAAUACGGGGGGUGCGAGCGUUGUCCGGAAUCACUGGGCGUAAAGGGCGCGUAGGUGGUCUGAUAAGGGUGUGGUGAAAGCCCGGGGCUCAACCCCGGGUCGGCCGUGCCGACUGUUGGACUAGAGUGCUGUAGGGGCAGGCGGAAUUCCGGGUGUAGCGGUGGAAUGCGUAGAGAUCCGGAGGAAGACCGGUGGCGAAGGCGGCCUGCUGGGCAGUUACUGACACUGAGGCGCGACAGCGUGGGGAGCAAACAGGAUUAGAUACCCCUGUAGUCC